rnacentral:rRNA from 1 species
UACGGAGGGUGCGAGCGUUGUCCGGAAUCACUGGGCGUAAAGGGCGCGUAGGCGGCCAUUCAAGUCGGGGGUGAAAGCCUGUGGCUCAACCACAGAAUUGCCUUCGAUACUGUUUGGCUUGAGUUUGGUAGAGGUUUGGUGGAACUGCGAGUGUAGAGGUGAAAUUCGUAGAUAUUCGCAAGAACACCAGUGGCGAAGGCGGCCAACUGGACCAAUACUGACGCUGAGGCGGCGAAAAGCGUG